rnacentral:lncRNA from 1 species
GGAUCAAGAGCACUAAGAGGGGGGGGGGUGAAUUAGUGCAGCAGAAAACUUUCGACGAUUAAAAUCGCGUUCGUACGAUAAGAGCGAUUUCGGUAGAAAAUCCGAUUCGUAAAUCACUUUAACUUGUAACCAAGCAAGAUGCAGUUAAAGCAAAGAUAUAAAGGCAGUUUGCAGUUAUGAUAGAAAUCAGAACGUAAACGCAAACUAAAAUAUGAUGUUCGUACGAUAAAAAUGAUUUACGUCUAAACGCCG